rnacentral:rRNA from 1 species
GACGAACGCUGGCGGCGUGCCUAAUACAUGCAAGUAGAACGAGUGGCGGACGGGUGAGUAAUGUCUGGGAAACUGCCUGAUGGAGGGGGAUAACUACUGUAAAAGGUAGCUAAUACCGCAUACCCUCAGAUGUGCCCAGAUGGGAUUAGCUAGUUGGUGGGGUAACUGCUCACCAAGGCGCCGAUGCCUAGCUGGCCUGAGAGGAUGACCAGCCACACUGGAACGGAGGAACGGUCCAGACUCGUACGGGAGGAAGCCGUGGGGAAUAUUGCGCAAGGGGCGCAAGCCUGAUGAAGCCAUGCCGCGUGUAUGAAGAAGGCCUUCGGGUUGUAAAGUACAUUCUGCGGGGAGGCGUUACCCGCAGAAGAAGCGCCGGCUAACUCCGUGCCAGCCGCCGCGGUAAUAC